ensembl:lncRNA
UGCCGCUGCAUGAUUCAGUGCUGUCGAGAGGAAUGAGUAAACGGGGCGAUAGACUGACACAACAGUUGAAGAAAUACUAAGGACGUUUUCAUCCUCUUGGAUACCGGAUUUUUCGUUAAGUUCAUCUGUACUUAAACGCGAGGAUAUCACAAAACACGUCUCAGAGAAGAAGUGUGAAGCAGAUCUCUGAAAAACAUUUCUCUUGCCAUCAUCUGGAAGGGAGAGACAGUUACAGGUACAUUAUGGGGCAAGGAGAAGCUUCAGCAAGAGGCACAAGUAUGGAGGGGGACUGUCUUAGUUGCAUCAAGUACCUCAUGUUCAUCUUCAACUUCUUCAUUUUUCUUGGAGGUGGAUUCCUUCUCGGGGUGGGAAUCUGGGUGCUGGUGGAUCCGACAGGUUUCCGGGAGAUUGUGGCAGUCAACCCUCUCCUGUUUACAGGAGUCUAUGCAAUUUUGAUCAUGGGCGGGAUGCUGUUCCUACUGGGAUUUCUGGGCUGCUGCGGAGCCAUACGAGAAAAUAAAUGUCUUCUACUGUUUUUCUUCAUGCUCAUACUCAUCAUAUUUCUGGCAGAGCUGGCGAUGGCCAUUCUGGCAUUCAUUUUCCGGGAGCAUAGAUUACUUCACCAAGGAGUUGAAAGCACAUUACCAAGUACGAUAACAUACUGUACAAAAUAUAGUACAAUAAUGUUUGAUUGCUGUGGGGUGAACAGUGCUGAAGACUUCGAUGAUCAGAGCCUCUUCAGACUGGUGAACCACAGCAGACUAGUGCCAGAGGUUUGUUGCCAGAGGAACGAUCUGAUGAUGAGCAAGGAGGAGUGUCUCAAGGGAAUUAUGCCAAUCCGUAACAAGGUCAGCAAUGAUAUUUGCAUUGAAAUCUUUGCUGAACUAUAUUUGUUUUUCUUUCUCUCCCAUCAGCUUUUUGCCAUGGUGUUUGCUAUGUGUUUGUUUAGGGGAAUCCAGUAA